rnacentral:tRNA from 1 species
CGGGGUGUAGCUCAGUCCGGUUUAGAGUACGCGUCUGGGGGACGCGUGGUCGGACGUUCGAAUCGUCCCACUCCGA